GUGAAGGGCAGGCUGGACACGGCUGACAGAGAACAGGAAACGUGGACAGGACAGGGAUGAACAGAAAACAAGACCAGACAAACACGAAAACAGGAAAGACACAGAUUGGGGAACCUGAAUGCAAAGCGACGAGAAAAGUGGAAAAAGGCUGGGGGAAAAACCGAGUUUUAAAUCCCUUCAGUAAAUAGUUAAAAGGAAGAACUUGGAUUCAAGAGUCUCUUUGAGUCACGCAUCAACUAUAUGCUUGAAUUCAAUAGCUUAAGGGGGCAUUUUGAACAACUAGAAGGAGCCACACUUUCAGAGCUCUUGCACAGAAACCUUAUGAUCUAAAUCCCGUGACUUUAUGGUCAUGACAUCACAACAGAGGGGUUGGGUAAGAACCCACAUGUGGUUUAAACUGGUCUGAUGUGUUCCGGUCUGCUGAGGUAGGGGGCGCUGCUCAUAAAAUGAGUCUCUCAGGGAAGCCAGAGAAUGAAGGAGAAACCCACAGCACUGACAGAAAGAGGGUCCAGGUAGAAAGAUCAGGGUCACCUGUACCCAGCUAUGUGUCUGUGAAGAGUGAAAGUUCUAUGGAUUAUCCAUUCAACCUCAAAGGAGAGUCCACAGGUGAUCAAAGGGUCCAGGUAGAAAGAUCAGGGUCACCU